UUUUAAGGUUCCUUAGAUUUUCUAAAAGUUCCACUCAGCCAUUUCUAAAUUAUAUCGGCUAGAGUGCGGACUGUUAGUUUCAGUGAUAGUGUUUUUCCAUUUCCUAAUUAAAGUUUCCGACUAGAGUAUCACAAGAAGCGAAAACUCUGCGCUCUUGUGCAAUUCUAAAUCUGUACAAAAGCGUCCAACGGGCGCUUUUUUUAUCCGAGCGACAAGCUCGUUGGCAUUUUCCCGCCAUCUUUUUUUUGGAAUUCGUCCACGUGAAGACGAUUACGGUGACGACCGUGCUCAUCCUGGCCCGCCAGUUCCUUGGCAGUCAAACGGACGGAGUGGACCCUUUCCAGCCUUCCUGCGUUCGGCGACGAAUGAUCUGGUAGCGUACUGGACCAGCCGAUACCCUCCCCCGCAUCUAUAUUUCGGCCAUCAAGGAUUGGAGCUAUUUCCGCACGAUCGGUGGCAGCGUGCAACGCCCACCCGAGGAUCUUUUUUGCCUCGCCGCCACUGUUGGCAAAAACAUCGUGCGAUGUUGGUGCACCCCUCGUCCGAUGAACUCCCGGACCGCCAGCACCGUUCUAAAUCCUGCGCAGGUAUGUGAGUCAUGGCCAUGAUGAUUACACGAUACAAC